CCACACUGACCGAUUGUGUAUCACUAAGUGAUUAGGUAGGUGGACGGUCCGACGAGAACUUCAACACGACCCAAGGAGAAUUUUAUCUUUGGGUGGGGACACCUAAUGACACAAUAUUUAUAUACCUACAUAUAAAAUAUUGACUCUUAACUUGUAUCGGUUUAUGCAUUGGACUUUCUCUUCUGCUUCCGAACAAACUGAAUGUGUCAUCGAGUAAUUCAUGGAAUCGCUUGCGCAUCUUCGAGACGUUCGUCGGCUGCCCGUCAUCGAUGUCCCCAUCAUCCAAGCCUUGCUGUUGCAUGCGAUGUUUGUGUAGAUUCCAAACAACCGGGCCUAUCACGCCAGGAUCUUCUGACGCACCUAGGCUUCCGUGUCGGCUGAUUGUAAACUCGUCCGGGUCGUGCAUGUCUAAAUGAUGCACGCUCAGGGGCUCCAGUACUUUGUUCAACGGCUCGGGAUUAUUGCCUCUAAAAUAUUUAUAUUUACAUGUCAGUAAAGUAUUGAUUUGUUUUCAUUAUAAAACAUCCAACAUACUUUGGGAACGCUUUUACGGACGGCAUGGAUAAAUAUGAUUUAGGGCUGAUAACACCUGGAUCAUGAUGUCCAACGUAGAUAGCGUCGCUUAAUGUACUACUACUGCUACUUGUGGAUAAAUUACUUGGCGCUACAUUUAAUGGCACCGUUUUGUUGACGGCGGCUUUCGGGCGCUGAAGUUUGCGCGGUUUUCCGAGUGCCAUCAGGGGCGAUAUGUCGACACUGCUAUUACUGCAAUGAAACAAAACUCGAUAGCUUGUUAUGUAUGCGUUAAUGAUCAACAUUGUGUAUGGUAUACCUCGACAAAGUUGAUGAACUGAGACCGCUAUUAGGGCGAAUAUUUGUAAGUGUUUCUGUUGAUGCUUGUGUUCGGAAGUUAAUAUACGUAGGGGAUGGAUUCUGA